GGUUUCCGUAGGUGAACCUGCGGAAGGAUCAUUACCGAGUGCGGGCCCCUCGGGGCCCAACCUCCCACCCGUGUUGCCCGAACCUAUGUUGCCUCGGCGGGCCCCGCGCCCGCCGACGGCCCCCCUGAACGCUGUCUGAAGUUGCAGUCUGAGACCUAUAACGAAAUUAGUUAAAACUUUCAACAACGGAUCUCUUGGUUCCGGCAUCGAUGAAGAACGCAGCGAAAUGCGAUAACUAAUGUGAAUUGCAGAAUUCAGUGAAUCAUCGAGUCUUUGAACGCACAUUGCGCCCUCUGGUAUUCCGGAGGGCAUGCCUGUCCGAGCGUCAUUGCUGCCCUCAAGCCCGGCUUGUGUGUUGGGCCCCGUCCCCCCCGCCGGGGGGACGGGCCCGAAAGGCAGCGGCGGCACCGCGUCCGGUCCUCGAGCGUAUGGGGCUUCGUCACCCGCUCUAGUAGGCCCGGCCGGCGCCAGCCGACCCCCAACCUUUAAUUAUCUCAGGUUGACCUCGGAUCAGGUAGGGAUACCCGCUGAAC
rnacentral:rRNA from 1 species